rnacentral:tRNA from 1 species
GUGGGUGUAGCUCAGCGGCAGAGCGCUGGACUGUGGCUCCAGGUGCCGGGGGUUCAAAUCCCCUCACCCACC